rnacentral:lncRNA from 1 species
GUCCACUUCUAUCUGCAUGCUACCUUUCAGUCCUUGGGUAACAUUGAGAAAUACUGACUGAAGGAAUGCAAAAGAAAUGUAAAUCAUGGCUUGUCAUGUUUUGAAGAAUUGAAAAAGUUUUGAAAAUGAAUUUAGUCUAGAACUUUAAAAAAAUUGAUACCCUAAAUAACUUUGAAAAAGUUAGUAGUUUGGAAAACUAGAUUUAACCACAAAGAUGUCAGAUAUUUUUGUUGCCAUUUGUAGGAUUUCAUAAUCUGCAUCGAAAUGUUCUUUGCGGCAAUUGCCCAUCAUUAUACGUUCUCCUAUAAACCCUAUGUGCAUGAAGCAGAGGAAGGCCCCUGCUUUGACUCCUUCCUCGCUAUGUGGGAUGUGUCUGAUAUCAGAGAAGAUAUUUCUGAACAAGUAAGGCGUGUCGGGAGGACAAUGCGAGGUUACCCGAAGAAGAAAUGUUUCCCUGGAGACCCGGAUCAUAAUGAACACUCCAGCCUACUCUCAGCGUCUUCACAAGACUCUUCCAAGCCGUCCUCACCGGUGGGC